GAUGAACGCUGGCGGCGUGCCUAAUACAUGCAAGUCGAGCGAACAGACGAGGAGCUUGCUCCUCUGACGUUAGCGGCGGACGGGUGAGUAACACGUGGAUAACCUACCUAUAAGACUGGGAUAACUUCGGGAAACCGGAGCUAAUACCGGAUAACAUGUUGAACCGCAUGGUUCAACAGUGAAAGACGGUUUUGCUGUCACUUAUAGAUGGAUCCGCGCCGCAUUAGCUAGUUGGUAAGGUAACGGCUUACCAAGGCAACGAUGCGUAGCCGACCUGAGAGGGUGAUCGGCCACACUGGAACUGAGACACGGUCCAGACUCCUACGGGAGGCAGCAGUAGGGAAUCUUCCGCAAUGGGCGAAAGCCUGACGGAGCAAUGCCGCGUGAGUGAAGAAGGUCUUCGGAUCGUAAAACUCUGUUAUUAGGGAAGAACAAAUGUGUAAGUAACUAUGCACGUCUUGACGGUACCUAAUCAGAAAGCCACGGCUAACUACGUG
rnacentral:rRNA from 1 species